GGGAUCAGGUAAGGGUGAAAGGGUGCGGUAAGAGCGCACCGCGCGACUGGCAACAGUUCGUGGCACGGUAAACUCCACCCGAAGCAAGACCAAAUAGGCCCCUAUUGGCGCGGCCCGCGUUGGGGGCGGGUAGGUUGCUUGAGCCAGUGAGCGAUUGCUGGCCUAGAGGAAUGAUUGCUACCGGGGCAACCCGGAACAGAACCCGGCUUACAGGCCGACUCCGACC
rnacentral:RNase_P_RNA from 1 species